rnacentral:rRNA from 1 species
AACGAACGCUGGCGGCAUGCCUAACACAUGCAAGUCGAACGAAACCUUCGGGUCUAGUGGCGCACGGGUGCGUAACGCGUGGGAACCUGCCCUUAGGUUCGGAAUAACUGCCCGAAAGGGGUGCUAAUACCGGAUAAUGUCUUCGGACCAAAGAUUUAUCGCCUUUGGAUGGGCCCGCGUUGGAUUAGCUAGUUGGUAGGGUAAAAGCCUACCAAGGCGACGAUCCAUAGCUGGUCUGAGAGGAUGAUCAGCCACACUGGGACUGAGACACGGCCCAGACUCCUACGGGAGGCAGCAGUGGGGAAUAUUGGACAAUGGGCGAAAGCCUGAUCCAGCAAUGCCGCGUGAGUGAUGAAGGCCUUAGGGUUGUAAAGCUCUUUUACCCGGGAUGAUAAUGACAGUACCGGGAGAAUAAGCUCCGGCUAACUCCGUG